CGAAGCGGUGCGUGUCGGGACGUGUAGUUUUCCCCGGCCGCACUGCGGGAAUCCUGUGUCGUGUGCUGGCCAGGCGCCGGAGGCUCCGCCGCUGGGAGCUAUGAGACUCAGGCCUCAGAGGGAAGUCAGUUAUCAGAGUGUGUAGGUUCUUCAUGCAGAGAAGAAGUCUUCUGGCUGUUGGGAUCAGACCUUCCAGCACCCUGAACCUGAACUUCUAGCUCCUCCUCAUGUGCUUGUCUGUGGGGGGCCUACAUUGAUCAGGAGUAAAUUCAUAGCUGGUCUGCCAUGAACUGGAAGGCUCUUGAACACGUGCCCUUGCUGCUGUAUAUCUUGGCAGCGAAGACAUUAAUUCUCUGCCUGGCAUUUGCUGGAGUGAAAAUAUACCAAAGGAAAAGGAUGGAAGCAAAACAGCAAAAGCUGGAGGCUGAGAAGAAGCAGCAGUCAGAGAAGAAAGAUAACUGAAGGGGAAUCGAGGUACCCGACCUUGCGAAUGGGAACCAGCCAGUGGUCAGGGCGGCCAAUUGACAGCUUUUGCAAUGUAAAUGUCAGCUCCAGUGGACUCCAGCCGAGAAGCAAGAACCCACUGAGUGAUGUGUCAGAGGAUAAACUCCCAACCUGGGCCUUUAACUUAAGACAAUGGGAAUUUUUAUAUGCUUUUAAAAGAACCAGUAUUUUGUUUACUAAAAUAAAAUACCUUUGUAAAAAGGGUG